rnacentral:rRNA from 1 species
GAGUGGCGAACGGGUGAGUAACACGUGGGUAACCUGCCCAUCAGAAGGGGAUAACACUUGGAAACAGGUGCUAAUACCGUAUAACAAUCGAAACCGCAUGGUUUUGAUUUGAAAGGCGCUUUCGGGUGUCGCUGAUGGAUGGACCCGCGGUGCAUUAGCUAGUUGGUGAGGUAACGGCUCACCAAGGCCACGAUGCAUAGCCGACCUGAGAGGGUGAUCGGCCACAUUGGGACUGAGACACGGCCCAAACUCCUACGGGAGGCAGCAGUAGGGAAUCUUCGGCAAUGGACGAAAGUCUGACCGAGCAACGCCGCGUGAGUGAAGAAGGUUUUCGGAUCGUAAAACUCUGUUGUUAGAGAAGAACAAGGAUGAGAGUAACUGUUCAUCCCUUGACGGUAUCUAACCAGAAAGCCACGGCUAACUACGUGCCAGCAGCCGCGGUAAUACGUAGGUGGCAAGCGUUGUCCGGAUUUAUUGGGCGUAAAGCGAGCGCAGGCGGUUUCUUAAGUCUGAUGUGAAAGCCCCCGGCUCAACCGGGGAGGGUCAUUGGAAACUGGGAGACUUGAGUGCAGAAGAGGAGAGUGGAAUUCCAUGUGUAGCGGUGAAAUGCGUAGAUAUAUGGAGGAACACCAGUGGCGAAGGCGGCUCUCUGGUCUGUAACUGACGCUGAGGCUCGAAAGCGUGGGAGCAAACAGGAUUAGAUACCCUGGUAGUCCACGCCGUAAACGAUGAGUGCUAAGUGUUGGAGGGUUUCCGCCCUUCAGUGCUGCAGCUAACGCAUUAAGCACUCCGCCUGGGGAGUACGACCGCAAGGUUGAAACUCAAAGGAAUUGACGGGGGGCCCGCACAAGCGGUGGAGCAUGUGGUUUAAUUCGAAGCAACGCGAAGAACCUUACCAGGUCUUGACAUCCUUUGACCACUCUAGAGAUAGAGCUUCCCCUUCGGGGGCAAAGUGACAGGUGGUGCAUGGUUGUCGUCAGCUCGUGUCGUGAGAUGUUGGGUUAAGUCCCGCAACGAGCGCAACCCUUAUUGUUAGUUGCCAUCAUUCAGUUGGGCACUCUAGCAAGACUGCCGGUGACAAACCGGAGGAAGGUGGGGAUGACGUCAAAUCAUCAUGCCCCUUAUGACCUGGGCUACACACGUGCUACAAUGGGAAGUACAACGAGUCGCGAAGUCGCGAGGCUAAGCUAAUCUCUUAAAGCUUCUCUCAGUUCGGAUUGUAGGCUGCAACUCGCCUACAUGAAGCCGGAAUCGCUAGUAAUCGCGGAUCAGCACGCCGCGGUGAAUACGUUCCCGGGCCUUGUACACACCGCCCGUCACACCACGAGAGUUUGUAACACCCGAAGUCGGUGAGGUAACCUUUGGAGCCAGCCG